rnacentral:rRNA from 1 species
UACAGAGACUGCAAGCGUUAUUCGGAUUCACUGGGCGUAAAGGGUGCGCAGGCGGCCGUGUGUGUGAGGCGUGAAAGCCCGGGGCUUAACCCCGGAAUUGCACCUCAAACUACACGGCUAGAGCAUUGGAGAGGGUAGCAGAAUUCACGGUGUAGCAGUGAAAUGCGUAGAUAUCGAGAGGAACACCAGUGGCGAAGGCGGGUCCCUGGACAGGUCCUGACGCUGAGGCACGAAAGCUAGGGGAGCAAACAGG